rnacentral:rRNA from 1 species
UACGAAGGGGGCGAGCGUUGUUCGGAAUUACUGGGCGUAAAGGGCGCGCAGGCGGCUCGACAAGUCAGAUGUGAAAGCCCCGGGCUCAACCUGGGAACGGCAUUUGGGACUGUCGGGCUAGAGUUCGGGAGAGGUGGGUGGAAUUCCCAGUGUAGAGGUGAAAUUCGUAGAUAUUGGGAAGAACACCGGUGGCGAAGGCAGCCUUCUGGGAAGUACCUGACGCUGAGGGGCGAAAGCUAGGGGAGCGAACGGG